GGGCCCAUAGCUCAGCUAGGUAGAGUGCUGGGCUCCAGAUGAAAAACAUUGGGUCUAGAGACCCGAAAGGGGAUGAGCGGCAUCUGGAAAUCGGAGAGACCCAGUGGUCCGGGGUUCGAGUCCCCGUGGGCCCA
rnacentral:tRNA from 1 species